GGGCCAUCCAGUUCCUUCAGCUGGAGAAGCUCUACCAUGAACGUCUGCUCUCCAACCUUGCCGCCCUGCAGGAUAACUGGGAGAGCCAGUGGAAAGAGAAGAAAAGCGAUGAAAGCUGUUUGCCCGAUGAGACGGACGGCAUCGGUCAGAAACACAUUGAGACCCUGAGCCAGAUCUGCAGGACACAUCAUCGACCAUCCACCUGUGUGGAAGAGAACAAGCUGAAUGCAACACUGAAAAACAUUCAAAGCAAGAAGGAGACGCUACAACCCUGCCAUGAUAAAG